UACGUAGGCAGCGAGCGUUGUCCGGAUUUACUGGGCGUAAAGAGCGCGCAGGCGGUCGUUCAAGUCGCGUGUGAAAGCCCCCGGCUCAACUGGGGAGGGUCACGCGAUACUGAUCGACUCGAAGGCAGGAGAGGGUAGUGGAAUUCCCGGUGUAGUGGUGAAAUGCGUAGAGAUCGGGAGGAACACCUGUGGCGAAGGCGGCCACCUGGGCCGACCCUGACGCUGAGGCGCGAAGGCGUGGGGAGCGAACGGG
rnacentral:rRNA from 1 species